UUAAAUUGGGCUGUCAGGUUUUUACUAAAAGGUAAUUGCUCCAAGCCUCCCUCUCGUAGAGAGGUGAGACUCUGGAAAAGAGAAACAGGAGCCUCAGCAAUAACUCCUCUACUGAAUUCUCUGCUGCUAUACAGCAUAUGUUAAUUGACAGAGAAUUAUAAAGUAUGUUUAUAAAGUAAGAGUUUAAGAGUUUGCAGAACUUAUUCAAGCACAGAGUACUAUCACGUAACUUAAGAAGAGAGAUAAAGAGUUAAGUUUCUUCAGUACUUAAUGAAGUACAGACCAGUACAAAAGAGUUAAGUUCUUAGCACAG
rnacentral:lncRNA from 1 species